rnacentral:misc_RNA from 1 species
UUCCAACAUCUUCCUCUUUGAGAAGCAAAUCCUCAAAGCCCACUUAUUACUUCAGCAUCAGAAACCAAGACUAAAUCAUUUUUUUCAGAAAACCCAUAUUAUCUGAAGAUUGCCCUUCUCCCAAUAAAAAGCAAGACACAAAUCAGAAAGAAUAAUUCCACAAGAACCCUUAUCCUUCUUCGGUGACUUUCCCUUUUCUCGUUAUCCACUCUUCUAACAGAGAGAAAGAUUCAGAGAUCCAAUGAGAAAAGAUGGAGGAGUUGAGAGAAAGUAAGCUCAAGUCAGAGAUGGUUCAAGACUUCAAGUGCUCAAAAACGAGAGGUCAGAGAAAGUGAAGACAAAGAUCGAGUCAUGGAAGAGCAAAA